GUAAUACUUCCUCCGUUUUAAAUUACUUGUCGCAAAAAUGGAUGUAUCUAAAACUAAAAUACAUCUAGAUACAUCUAUACCCGCGAUAAAUAAUUCAGAACGGAGGGAAUAUAUC
rfam:Triticum aestivum genome assembly, contig: Triticum_aestivum_CS42_TGACv1_scaffold_001127_1AL